GACGAACGCUGGCGGCGUGCUUAACACAUGCAAGUCGAACGGAAAGGCCCUGCUUGCAGGGUGCUCGAGUGGCGAACGGGUGAGUAACACGUGGGUGAUCUGCCCCUUACUUUGGGAUAAGCCUGGGAAACUGGGUCUAAUACUGGAUAGGACCAUGCUGUAGGUGGUGUGGUGGAAAGAUUAGUUUCGGUAAGGGAUGAGCUCGCGGCCUAUCAGCUUGUUGGUGGGGUAAUGGCCUACCAAGGCGUCGACGGGUAGCCGGCCUGAGGGGGUGGACGGCAACAUUGGGACUGGGAGAGGGCCCACAGUCCGAGGGGGGGCGGCAGGGGGAAAUAUGGAAAAGGGGGCGCAAGCCGGGUGCACCGCCGCGGGGGGGGGGGUGAGGGCUUGGGGGUUGAAAACUCCUUGCGCCCAUGACGAAGCCCUUGUGGUGACGGUAGGGGAAGAAAAAGCCCCGGCAAACUACGUG
rnacentral:rRNA from 1 species